rnacentral:rRNA from 1 species
AUUGAACGCUGGCGGCAGGCCUAACACAUGCAAGUCGAGCGGAUGAAGGGAGCUUGCUCCUGGAUUCAGCGGCGGACGGGUGAGUAAUGCCUAGGAAUCUGCCUGGUAGUGGGGGAUAACGUCCGGAAACGGGCGCUAAUACCGCAUACGUCCUGAGGGAGAAAGUGGGGGAUCUUCGGACCUCACGCUAUCAGAUGAGCCUAGGUCGGAUUAGCUAGUUGGUGGGGUAAAGGCCUACCAAGGCGACGAUCCGUAACUGGUCUGAGAGGAUGAUCAGUCACACUGGAACUGAGACACGGUCCAGACUCCUACGGGAGGCAGCAGUGGGGAAUAUUGGACAAUGGGCGGAAGCCUGAUCCAGCCAUGCCGCGUGUGUGAAGAAGGUCUUCGGAUUGGAAAGCACUUUAAGUUGGGAGGAAGGGCAGUAAGUUAAUACCUUGCUGUUUUGACGUUACCAACAGAAUAAGCACCGGCUAACUUCGUG